rnacentral:tRNA from 1 species
GUAGAUGUAACUCAGUGGUAGAGUGCUUGCCUAGCAUGCAUGAGGCACUAAGUUCAAUCCUCAGCACCACA